CCUACGGGAGGCUGCAGUAGGGAAUCUUCCACAAUGGACGAAAGUCUGAUGGAGCAACGCCGCGUGUGUGAUGAAGGCUUUCGGCUCGUAAAACACUGUUGUAAGAGAAGAAUGACAUUGAGAGUAACUGUUCAGUGUGUGACGGUAUCUUACCAGAAAGCAACGGCUAAAUACGUGCCAGCAGCCGCGGCAAUACGUAUGUUCCUAGCGUUAUCCGGAUUUAUUGGGCGUAAAGCUAGCGCAGAUGGUUUUUUAAGUCCGUAGUGAAAGCCCACGGCUGAACUAUGGAAGUAUUAUGGAAACUGGAUAACUUGAGUGCAGGAGAGGAGAGUGGAACUCCAUGUGUAGCAGUGAAAUGCGUAGAUAUAUGGAAGAACACCAAUGGCGUAGGCGGCUCUCUGGAUUGUAACUGACGUUGAGGCUCGAAAGUGUGGGUAGCAAACAGGAUUAGAUACCCCUGUAGUC
rnacentral:rRNA from 1 species